GUUGGCAGAACUGCAUAUGAUGUGGGAUUUCCAAGAAAGAAUACUACAGCGGAAGAUGCGAAAAUCGUCAUAGCUUUCUGCUGUCACAUGAACGCUCAACGUCCUCUGCGACGCAGCCGCAAGAUGUUCCGUAGCAGACGACAGAAGAAGGCGCUGGCGGUGUCGUCUGCUAAGUACGCAGUACGCCACUCCCGAUAUUCCGGCACCGUAUGAACGCUCAACAUAACGGAUCAACGGACGGAACUUCGGCUCUGUGGCGUUGCUUAACAUGCACGGACACAGGACCGCAACACUACCGAGUCUAUACGUGCG